rnacentral:rRNA from 1 species
GACGAACGCUGGCGGCGUGCUUAACACAUGCAAGUCGAACGGAAAGGCCUCUUUCGGGGGGUACUCGAGUGGCGAACGGGUGAGUAACACGUGAGUAACCUGCCCUUGACUUUGGGAUAACUUCAGGAAACGGGGGCUAAUACCGGAAAGGAGCUCCUGCUGCAUGGUGGGGGUUGGAGAGUUUAGGCGGUUGGGGGUGGAUUCGCGGCGUAUCGGCGUGUUGGUGGGGAAGUGGCUUACCAAGGCUUUGCCGGGUAGCCGGCCUGAGGGGGUGACCGGCCACCUUGGGUCUGAGGGACGGCCCCGACGCCUACGGGUGGCAGCUGUGGGGAAUAUUGCACCAUGGGUGGCAGCCUGGUGCAGCAACGCCGUGGGCGGGAUGACGGCCUUCGUGUUGUAAACCGCUUUCGCUUUUGACGAAGCUUUGUGUGACGGUAGUGGGUAAAGAAGCACCGGCUAACUACGUG